UACGUAGGGUGCGAGCGUUGUCCGGAAUUAUUGGGCGUAAAGAGCUCGUAGGCGGUGUGUCACGUCGGCCGUGAAAACCUGCAGCUUAACUGUGGGCGUGCGGUCGAUACGGGCAUCACUGGAGUUCGGCAGGGGAGACUGGAAUUCCUGGUGUAGUGGUGAAAUGCGUAGAGAUCGGGAGGAACACCCGUGGCGAAGGCGGCUCACUGGGCUGACCUUGACGCUGAGGCGCGAAGGCGUGGGGAGCGAACGGG
rnacentral:rRNA from 1 species